rnacentral:lncRNA from 1 species
GACGCGACGACGGCGACACUUUGCUACGGAGUGCAUCGGACGUCGAAGCCUAGAGUCUCUGCGUCUUUCCCUCUUCCGCUGCCUCAUUCCUUUCCUUCCUAGCCUUGGUCGUCGCCGCCACCAUGAACAAGAAGAAGAAACCGUUCCUAGGGAUGCCCGCGCCCCUCGGCUACGUGCCGGGGCUGGGCCGGGGUGAGGAGUAGAGGAAUCUGACGUGUAGUGGAAACACGCG